rnacentral:rRNA from 1 species
AGCUCCAAUAGCGUAUAUUAAAGUUGUUGCAGUUAAAAAGCUCGUAGUUGGAUUUCUGGUCUGAGCGUUUAGUCCGGCGCUGUGCGUUGUGUACUUGAAUGACUUGGACCUUCCUUGUAGGGAAUAUGUGUGGUCUUAAUUGAUCGUGCAUGGGAACUGCAUCGUUUACUGUGAAAAAAUUAGAGUGUUUAAAGCAGGCAUUUGCUGUGAAUACAUUAGCAUGGAAUAAUAAGAUAGGACUUUGGUACUAUUUUGUUGGUUGGAGGCCAAGGUAAUGAUUAAUAGGGAUAGUUGGGGGUAUUCAUAUUUAAUUGUCAGAGGUGAAAUUCUUGGAUUUAUGAAAGAUGAACUUAUGCGAAAGCAUUUACCAAGGAUGUUUUCA